GCGAUCAUACCAGCACUAAUGCACCGGAUCUGAACUCCGAAGUUAAGCGUGCUUGGGCGAGAGCAGUACUAGGAUGGGUGACCCCCUGGGAAGUCCUCGUGUUGCACCU
rnacentral:rRNA from 1 species